rnacentral:tRNA from 1 species
GCACUGGUGGCAAAAUGGUUAAGUGCUUGGUAGAUAAUCAGAAGAUUGGUGGUUUGAACCCAUCCAGGUGCU